CAACAAAGUUUUAUCAAUCUUAUUUAUCCGAUAUUAAGUGUGCUUUCGUUGUAAUAAUAAAUCCGCUCUCUCUUUCUCUCUCUCAAGGUUAUUUUAUCGAGCGUAUAUAUGUGUGUAAAUUAGUUUAUAUUUUGACAUGUGACUCACGCGAACCAACAGAGUCACUUUGAAUAAUCUGUGAUAUCAGAAAUUUCCUUAAUGUUUUUCUACUGACGAUUAACAUCUUUGGGAGAUAAUUCUAACAAGAAAGCCUUUUGGCGUAUCUACAAGACCGUAAAAUUGCAGUGUUGGAAACGUAUGGAAAAUCAAGUUAGAAUUUUGCACAGUUACACAGUAUAGAUGACAACAGAUGAAUCAUUGGGAGCAGUGAACCAAGGAGGUAAUUCAAUUAUCGUAAUUAAUUAAUUCUAUUUUAAAUGAAAAAUGUUCUAUAAAUGCAUCGGUCCCCCUCAUUCAAACAAAAAGUGAAAUUGCUCGUUCGCUAACGAUUGUAAUAAAACGUAGAGUAGUAAAGGCAAUUUUUAGAAAUACGUGAAAAGCUCAGCAGUA
rnacentral:sRNA from 1 species